rnacentral:miRNA from 1 species
UGCAGCAGGUGGAUUAUAGAC